rnacentral:rRNA from 1 species
GAAUGAACCGGCGAGUUACGAUUUGAUGCAAGGUUAAGCAGUAAAUGUGGAGCCGUAGCGAAAGCGAGUCUGAAUAGGGCGUUUAGUAUUUGGUCGUAGACCCGAAACCAGGUGAUCUACCCUUGGUCAGGUUGAAGUUCAGGUAACACUGAAUGGAGGACCGAACCGACUUACGUUGAAAAGUGAGCGGAUGAACUGAGGGUAGCGGAGAAAUUCCAAUCGAACCUGGAGAUAGCUGGUUCUCUCCGAAAUAGCUUUAGGGCUAGCCUCAAGUGAUGAUUAUUGGAGGUAGAGCACUGUUUGGACGAGGGGCCCCUCUCGGGUUACCGAAUUCAGACAAACUCCGAAUGCCAAUUAAUUUAACUUGGGAGUCAGAACAUGGGUGAUAAGGUCCGUGUUCGAAAGGGAAACAGCCCAGACCACCAGCUAAGGUCCCAAAAUAUAUGUUAAGUGGAAAAGGAUGUGGCGUUGCCCAGACAACUAGGAUGUUGGCUUAGAAGCAGCCAUCAUUUAAAGAGUGCGUAAUAGCUCACUAGUCGAGUGACACUGCGCCGAAAAUGUACCGGGGCUAAACAUAUUACCGAAGCUGUGGAUUGUCCUUUGGACAAUG